rnacentral:rRNA from 1 species
UACAGGGGGUGCAAACGUUGCUCGGAAUCAUUGGGCGUAAAGCGCACGUAGGCGGUCUGUUAUGUCGGAUGUGAAAGCCCUUGGCUCAACUGAGGAAGUGCAUCCGAAACUGGCAGGCUAGAGUACUAAAGAGGAUCGCGGAAUUCCCGGUGUAGAGGUGAAAUUCGUAGAUAUCGGGAGGAACACCGGUGGCGAAGGCGGCGAUCUGGGUAGAUACUGACGCUGAGGAGCGAAAGCAUGGGGAGCGAACAGG